UACGGAGGGUGCUAGCGUUGUUCGGAAUCACUGGGCGUAAAGGGCGUGUAGGCGGUCUGUUAAGUCUGAUGUGAAAUCCCCUCGCUUAACGAGGGAACUGCGUCGGAUACUGGCAGACUCGAGUACCGGAGAGGAAGGUGGAAUUCCCGGUGUAGCGGUGAAAUGCGUAGAUAUCAGCAGGAACACCCGUGGCGAAGGCGGCUUCCUGGAUCACCCCUGACGCUGAGACGCGAAAGCGUGGGGAGCGAACGGG
rnacentral:rRNA from 1 species